rnacentral:lncRNA from 1 species
CUUUUUGUCAUCAUAGCAAAAAGGAAGAAAGCACAUCACAAAAGCAAUUAGAGAUCAAAUUUGCACAAUUUGAAGAGAAAUGUCUACUCAUUGUAUUGAUGUAAAUUUAAGUACACUUGUAGAUACAUCAAAAAGUAUAGCAGUAAGUACAUAUCAAAAAGAGAAAACAAGCUACACUAGGAUUUCUUUGUGGAGGAUGUGGCUCCCUUGCUCAGU